rnacentral:misc_RNA from 1 species
GAUGAAGAACGUAGCGAAAUGCGAUAAGUAAUGCGAAUUGCAGAAUUUCCGUGAGCCAUCGAAUCUUUGAACGCACAUUGCGCCCACUGGUAUUCCGGUGGGCAUGCCUGUUCGAGCGUCAUUAUCCUCCCUCAAACCCCGGGUUUGGUGUUGGACCCAAGUUGUGUGAACAACUGGUCUCAAAGACAAUGACGGCGUCCGUGGGACCCUCGGUGCAACGAGCUUUUAGGAGCACGCAUCGAGUUGCAAGGACCUUCCGGGCCGGUCUCCUUUACCAUUUUACAAGGUUGACCUCGGAUCAGGUAGGAAUACCCGCUGAACUUAAGCAUAUCAAUAAGCGGAGGA